rnacentral:rRNA from 1 species
UACGUAGGCAGCGAGCGUUGUUCGGAGUUACUGGGCGUAAAGGGCGCGUAGGCGGCCCGCUAAGUCGAACGUGAAAUCCCCGAGCUCAACUCGGGAACUGCGUCCGAUACUGGCGGGCUUGAAUCCGGGAGAGGGAUGCGGAAUUCCAGGUGUAGCGGUGAAAUGCGUAGAUAUCAGGAGGAACACCGAUGGCGAAGGCAGGUCUCUGGGCCGAUACUGACGCUGAGGAGCGAAAGCGUGGGUAGCGAACAGG